AUUGAACGCUGGCGGCAGGCCUAACACAUGCAAGUCGAACGAGUGGCGGACGGGUGAGUAAUGUCUGGGCAACUGCCCGAUGGAGGGGGAUAACUACUGGAAACGGUAGCUAAUACCGCAUACCAUCGGAUGUGCCCAGAUGGGAUUAGCUAGUAGGGGGGGUAACGGCUAACCUAGGCGACGAGCCCCAGCUGGUCUGGGAGGAGGACCAGCAAACGUGGAACGUGACCACGGCCCGGAGUCCUAAGGGAGGCAGAAGUGGGGAAUAUUGCACAAUGGGCGCAAGCCGGAUGCAGACAUGCCGCGGGGAUGAAGAAGGCCUUCGGGUUGUAAAGUACUUUCAGCGAGGAGGCGUUACUCGCAGAAGAAGCACCGGCUAACUCCGUGCCAGCAGCCGCGGUAAUAC
rnacentral:rRNA from 1 species